CACGGAUGAGCACUAGAUGACGAGUCAUAUUCGGGUUUCCGAUGCUGACAACCUUUUAUUUUUUUACCAUUCAUGCAUAACUGACA
rnacentral:snoRNA from 1 species